rnacentral:rRNA from 1 species
UUCGGGAGUGACGCUUGUGGAACGAGCGGCGGACGGGUGAGUAACACGUGGGCAACCUACCUGUAAGACUGGGAUAACUCCGGGAAACCGGGGCUAAUACCGGAUGAAACAAAGCGUCGCAUGACGCAAUGUUAAAAGGCGGCAUAUGCUGUCACUUACAGAUGGGCCCGCGGCGCAUUAGCUAGUUGGUGAGGUAAAGGCUCACCAAGGCAACGAUGCGUAGCCGACCUGAGAGGGUGAUCGGCCACACUGGGACUGAGACACGGCCCAGACUCCUACGGGAGGCAGCAGUAGGGAAUCUUCCGCAAUGGACGAAAGUCUGACGGAGCAACGCCGCGUGAGUGAUGAAGGUUUUCGGAUCGUAAAACUCUGUUGUUAGGGAAGAACAAGUGCCAUUCGAAUAGGUUGGCACCUUGACGGUACCUAACCAGAAAGCCCCGGCUAACUACGUGCCAGCAGCCGCGGUAAUACGUAGGGGGCAAGCGUUGUCCGGAAUUAUUGGGCGUAAAGCGCGCGCAGGCGGUCCUUUAAGUCUGAUGUGAAAGCCCACGGCUUAACCGUGGAGGGCCAUUGGAAACUGGAGGACUUGAGUACAGAAGAGGAGAGUGGAAUUCCACGUGUAGCGGUGAAAUGCGUAGAGAUGUGGAGGAACACCAGUGGCGAAGGCGACUCUCUGGUCUGUAACUGACGCUGAGGUGCGAAAGCGUGGGUAGCGAACAGGAUUAGAUACCCUGGUAGUCCACGCCGUAAACGAUGAGUGCUAGGUGUUAGGGGGUUUCCGCCCCUUAGUGCUGAAGUUAACGCAUUAAGCACUCCGCCUGGGGAGUACGGCCGCAAGGCUGAAACUCAA